rnacentral:rRNA from 1 species
AACGAACGCUGGCGGCAGGCUUAACACAUGCAAGUCGAGCGAGACCUUCGGGUUUAGUGGCGGACGGGUGAGUAACGUGUGGGAUCGGGCCCUUAUGUAUGGAUAAGCCUCGGGUAACCGAGCGUAAUACCGGAGAUGCCAUUUGGGGGAAAGAUCUAACGGCGCAGGAUCGGACCGCGUUGGAUUAGGCAGUUGGUGGGGUAAUGGCCUACCAAGACUACGAUCCAUAGCUGGAGUGAGAGGGUGAUCAGCCACACUGGGACUGAGACACGGCCCAGACUCCUACGGGAGGCAGCAGUGGGGAAUCUUAGACAAUGGGGGCAACCCUGAUCGAGCCAUGCCGCGUGAGUGAUGAAGGCCUUAGGUAUGUAAAGCUCUUUCAGCUGGGAAGAUAAUGACGGUACCAGCAGAAGAAGCCCCGGCUAACUCCGUG